GGUGGUUCAGCGAAGGAAACCGUUUCUAUGAUCCUGGUGUCCGGCUGCCACUGGGCAACCAGCAGAGAGCAAAGGAUGGGAGGGAAGAACAGGGGCAGGAAUGCAGGGGACCCUCACGUCUGGAGGAGUUUCCUUUGGGGACAAGGCCCAGGCUCCAGAUGCCUAGUGCCAGCCUUCUCUUUCCUGCAGGAUGGCUGGAGAAAGCAAUCCCACGAGUCCGGAAUGGAUGGUCUCAGCCCCAUCCAGGGACGCCCGUGAAGAUCACAUGCCUGUGGCUGCUAAUAGCAGAAGCGGGCAGCUGGAGGAGGUGGCCCCGUGCUCUGGAGCAGUGGCCCUGAGGACAUGGCCCAGCCACCAGGGGCGCACGUGCCCUGUCUCCACCUCGCUGGGCCACACAGGCCUGGAUGGUACAAAGGUCUGCAAACAUCUGUCAACUCCAACAGCAGCUCCCACGUGAGGGCCACGGGGUGGCGUGAGCUCAGGGGAGAUCAGAAGAGCCCCUGCUGUUCCUGUGUGUGGGCUCCAGGCCCCACACACCAACACCUUCUCUGUCCUGAUCAAUGGCACGUAUCUGUUUAACACAUGGGAACAAGUUUAUCUCAUAAGCUACUUCAUUUGAUGGAAGAGGAACACCAGGGCCCGGUGGGGGACCGGUGCAGCUCCGGUCCUGGGUGAGGGGAGUAGUGGGGUGCCUCAACCCAGCUUUCAGCAGGAAGCCUGAGUAACCAGGGAAUUAGCCCUGGGCCCUCUUCCUGGUCCUAAAUGGGCUCUUGCCCAGCUCUCAGUAACCUUCUAUCAGGAGUGACGAGACCAAGGUCGUUGUUAACAAGUGUUUAUUGUUAAUAAAACCAUGGUACAUUUACAAUAAGUGACAACAUUAAUGUAUAGUUACAGUAUCAUACAAUAUUACAGCAAUAAAAUAACGCCUAUUCCUUUGUACAUCCAGCUCAAGCAGCUAGUCAAAAAUAUUUUCCAAGAUUGCAAGCCCCCAGGGGCUUUUCAAGGUAACCAGAGUGACACCUCCUGAAGUAAGUGCCCAGGGCUUUUGGUGAAUAAAUAGUUUCUAAGGUGCAGCCAGACAGCCUGAAGAAGACGACACCCAGAGCAAGCUGUCUGGAAUGCUCCCCCAGUGUCUGGUCCAUAAAUGUGACAAGUGUCCAGCCUGAUGCUGCCCCUCUCCCUAGGGAAGUCCGGGCCUACAGCAGGCCCAGGGCAGGUAGGUGAGAAGCAGCAGGUCUCCUCCCGGCCCUUCCCUCCCACCGGUGCCCCACCCUUUACACCCCCAGGACCCGCAGCUCCCAGUGAGAAGCGCCCCUUCUCUAGCCCAAGUUGAAGGACUCAGCCAGGGGUACACUUAGGGGUCUGCUUCCUGAGCCCACAGAGGCGGCCUAAAUCUGGGCAUGGGGUUUCAGAAUUGGCCCCUAAAGAAACCAGCAGCAACACAAGCUGAGGCCCCCGGCCUCCUCCAUGCCGCCCUGGGCUGAGACUGAAAGCUCUGAAGGCAUCAGUUGGGGAACUGCUCCACCACUAACUGAGCAGGUCUGUGGUCCCCAAAGGAGGGCCUCUGUGGGCCUAGACACUAACGAAAAGAGGACCAUCUGUGCAGGGAUCUUCAGGCCCCCUGGAGGCUCAUAUCAAGGCUUCAGAGGCACAGCCUUGAGGAAUAAGUUCAGGGAUUUGGGCAGCCUUUCUGACAUGAUGUUGAGGAAAAAUACCAGCUUCUGCAUGAAGUGGCCUGGGGCCCAGACUCUGUGUUCUCUACAUUCAUCAGGAUGCCCGUACCCCGCCAGGAGCCCCAGAUGGGAAGGUCUGAGCUUAUGGAGGCUUGGGGACUGUGGGCAGUUAGCGCCUGGAAGGCAUGGUCAGAAGCUAUUUCAAGCAGAGGUGAGUCAGAAUCAGCCACAGAUCUCCAGGAGGAGAGAAGUGGCACAAGAGGGUGAGUACACUGCGGCCCUCAAGGUGCAAACAGUAUGGGGGUUGGGAGUGGAGGGAAGGGCCACCUUUUGACCUUAUCUGCCCAUUACUAGUCAGGCAGACACAGCUCUGGGGCAGAGGGGUGAAGGUGGGGCUGCCCAGUGACAGGAGGGCUCAGAGCACAUCUACCUGCCUAAGGACAUAUCGACGUCAGAGAGGAGGGCUGGAGAAAGAAGUGGAAACUGAGUCCCAUAAGCCUGGCUCCAGGAGGGCCUCAGCCAGUGCCCCUGCCCCCUCCACAGGGCCGUGAGCCAUCCACGGGCCCUGGCUACGUCCUUGUUCAGACGUCCCCUGGAAGCCCUUGCUCCCAGCCUCUCAUGCCUCCUGGGAUGCUUCGAGACAGAGCCCUGGCUCAAAGGGCGCUGGGUGUGCUGACCUGCUGUGCGCCCAGCCCCCUCACACCCGGGAGGUGAUGUAGAUGGAGUGCACGCGCUCGGCCAGGGUGCUCUGCAGGUCCUGCAGCGGGUCCAGGCCCUGCACUUUGCUGUUGCGGCCGUAGAUGAGCUGCCGGAAGGAGUCCUGCUCAAGCAGGGCCUUCAUGUGCUUGAGGAAGAAGCCUUCACAGAACAGGGCCAGCUCGGGGGCAUUGUGGAUCUGGGGGGAGGGGGGGGUGGUGAGAGCCACAGCCUUAGCACAGCCCUGGCACGGCCCCACCUGAAACCACCCUCUCCCCUCCCCCAGGUAUUACCCAUGGACUGUGGCCCAGCACAAGUCUUGGCCUUUCCCUGAUCUGGACUCCUUCCAUAAGCAUCACCUCCAGCUUGGACUAAUGUGGGUUCAAAUCCCAACUGUGCCACCAGAAACCUCACUUGUUCUUGGCCCCAUCAUUUUCUUUGCCUACUUCCCACUGCCGCCAUCACUGAAUGGUGGCCAUCCUUGUUGGGGCAGAAGCUCCCUCACUAAUGGCAGGGUCAGGGGGUUGGCUUGAGGCCUGGCACCAGAGCAAUUCACCUGGCUGAUGCUCAGUAACUACGGUAACUCGAGAAAUAUCAAGGGUCGGCUCUGGGCCAGGCACUGGGCACCAAGUUCUGAGGUCCAGGUCUCUGCCGUGUGCGCUUAGGGCUGAUGCUCUCCUUCGGGGAGACAGAAACCAGAGGACCGAGCAAAGUUACAACAGACUGUGGUCAGUGCUGGGACGCGCACGGGCAGGUGAUGGUUGUGCGGCAGGGCCUCAGCGGGGCCAGGGGAGGUGGGCGGGCCUUGUGAGGUGCUCAGGAAGGUGCUUCCCCGGAAGGGGGGAUGGUUGUCACAAGACACCCAGGGCAGGCGCUAGCUGAGAUAGAGCCACAGCACAGGGUGAAAGGGAGAUGUGGGUGGAGUCUAGGGGCUGUGUCAAGCAUGGUAUUUAGUCUGCAAACAGAGGAAGAUUUGUAGGAAGAGGGUGUUAAGUAGAGGAGUGACAUGGUCCUAAAGCUUUUCAAAAAGCCUGUGGACUGCAGGGUGAGAGUCAGAAAGGGAGAGGCCGGGCCAGUGCCACGGUCUGGAGAGGGGGCAGUAGCUUGGGGCAGGAGAGGCACGUGGGCAGACUGUGGAUGUGUUCACAGGGAACUGGCCUAGAUGAGGGAAAUCCUCAAGUUUUGAGUCUAAGCACCUGAGCAGAUGGCCAUGCUGUUGCUGAGGAGGGGGGAAGACUGAGGAGGACAGGUUGGGGGAGAAUCAAAGCAGAACCUGGGGAAGUGAUGGGGCUCAGAGAAGCUCAGUCCUUUGCCCCAGGCACCCCUGGCCUGGCACAGCUGGAGUGUGAACUGGGGUCCGUGAGUGGCAUGACUACAGAGGGCUUUCCUACCUGCCUCCAGGUCUCUAGCUGCCCUGCAGCCCCCGUUUCUUAAGCCCCGGCGGGCUCACCUUGGCGUACUUGUACGUGUUCACGGCACUCUCCACGCUGAGGGUCUGGGAGCACAGGAUCUCGCAGUGCCUCUGCAGGGCAUCCAGCUGGAACAAGCUGGCCGCCGACAGCAGCUGGGGAGGAGGGGGCAAAAGGCAGCCUUGGAUGUGGGCAGCCAGGCCUGUGGCCCAGGCAUCCCAGAACAGAGCUGCUUCGUGCAGGGGGCCCUGUGUUCUAAUCCUCGGGGCCCUGCCCGCCUCAGCAGGUCAGGUCUGAGGACGGAUUUAUUUCUGUUCCAGGCCACCUCGGUAUUUGCUGGGACACCUUCCUGGAAGGCACAGGAUGGGUGACAGACGCUGGUUGGGAUUCCUGACAUCACAGAAGGUCUUCAGUUAAAAGCUUUAUGCUUUGUCUACAUGAUCUUGUAGCCAGGCGCUUGGCCAGCAGGGGCUCCAUUUUCUAAGUGCAAGGAGGGGAGUGGGAGGCCCUGUUGCCUAUGAUCCUCCUGGGUCUAUUAUCUCUACUGGGGAGCCUUCCAGCUCCCCACCCCAGGCAUGGCCCAGGAGGCGGUGGGCACCCAGUUCCCUGUCACUGGAUGAGAAAGGACAGCAGGGAAUCAGAAUGUCCUCGAAGAGCCCACCUCCCCUCCUUGGCUCUCCAAUGCCAUGUCUCUGAGCGUGGUGUUGAGACCAGAGGCCAGGCAGGGGGCGCACCGACUCCCAUGUCCCCCCAGCGCCAGGACCUCACCUCCAGGAUGUCGGCAGCUGGGAUGUCCAUGGCUUCUGUCCCUCCGUAGUACAGGUACUGCAUCAUCAUCUGCAGCGGGAAGAGGCAUGAACACCGUGUGGCCCGUGGCCCCCACGUCCUCUGGCUUCAGAGUGCUGCACUUCGUCCCACGCCUGGCCAUGCCCCCCACAUGUGGAUGCGUGCACAUCACCCGGUCACUGAAGCGGAUACUUCGUGCAGUCUCUACAGGCCCCCAGGGAGCUGACUACAGGAGGCCGCAGGUGCUGCAUGGACAGGGCUGGGGUCAAAAGCCAGUGCUGUGAAGGCCAGGUAGGUGCUGGAGGCUGCUCUGAAACGUUCAGGCUCUAUCACUCCCCAGCUGUGUGACCUUAGGUAAGUUACUCAACUUCUUUGUGCCUCUGACUCUUCAUCUGUGAAGAGGUAACAAUACACCUACACCUCCCAGGACUGUGCUAUGCUAUGAAGCUUUACUGAGGAACACAGGCCAAGCACCUGGAGCCACGCCUGCCUAAGUGACAACGAAGGUGACCUCUUACUAAGCUUCUGUAGGUUAAAGGUCAAACCCUUCAUGUGAUGGCACCUUGGGGCGGCUUCAGACUUGUUUCUGGAUGUUCUUCUAAACCACUGACCACACUAGAUCAGAGGGCGUUUCCUGCACACGGCCUGGUCUCUGCUUCCGUGCACAUGGUCCCCCCUUGGGGCUCCCAGUGGCUGGCCCGCUGCCCCAGUCCCGGACGGCCUCUGCACACUUGGGUUCGAUGGCCCUUCCCUGUGCUCCCCGCGCUCACCCUCUUGCAGUCCCAUCUCCUGGUGGGCGGGACUCGGUCCUGUUUAGUGCCAUCCCCACAGUGCCCACAGAUGGCGAAUGCCAAGUAGGUGGGUGAAGGGAGCAUGAGGAGGAACAAGGCCAAUGUGGAUGGGGGCUUCCUGUGCCUCUAUGAGACCGACCUCUCCCCCUAGGGCACAGAGUUGUCCUGUGCAAGGCUGGGCCCUGCACCCACAGCCCAGCUGCCCCUGGCCUAGGACUCAGCCCCUGGGGGUCGUCCCUGCGGCCGGAGCCCACCACACAGCCUCGAGACUUGUAGUCGCCACUUUCCAAAAAGGAGCUCUCAGCCGGGGCUCCUCCCUCCGAUUGGCGGCCAGCCAUGGUUUCCAUCACGCACCACCCUCUGAUGUUCUCUGGAGCUUAGGGACUGAAUGACCUGACCUUGGUCUUCCACAACCACGCCAGGCUCACCGGACUUUUUCUGCCUGGCUGGGGUCUGAGGCUGGGGAGGGGCUGAGCAGCCCCCACCUUGCUUCCCAAAGUGUGCCCCACCCCGGCCCCGCCUGCAGGCUUGGUCAUGUGCAGGAGGCAGGGGCGGGGGGCUGGCCAUGGGGACCACAGAGAAGUCCAGGCUGUGCUGCGGGGAGCUUGCCCUGAGGCAUGAGGGCUCAUGCAUGUGUGCUGGGCCUUACAUGUCUGUCUGUCUGCCCACGCAGCUGUUCGGUGGUCAGAGCUCA